rnacentral:lncRNA from 1 species
ACACCAUUGUACCCAAUUAAGAAAAAGCAAGAGAAAAGGAAACCUGUGGUCUACCGUAUGGUAAAUGAUUUGAGGGUAAUUAAUGCUGUAACUGAACUCAUUGCCCCUAAUGUUCCCAACCCACACACCUUGUUAGCACAAAUACCACCUUUCUCUAAGGUAUUUACUGUUUUUGACUUGGCAAAUGCAUUUUUCAGUGUCCCCCUGGAUCCCGAC